UGCGCGUUUAUGGGGCGGCCCCUAUGGUCGCGGUCCAGCCGGAAACACUAAAUGUGUAUCGCAAGUAUUGUGGGAAGUUUAGAGCAGAGCUAAAAGAUACGAUGAUUACAGUCCGUUUUCCCAUCCAGAGUGAAGACUGAGUGAAAGCCAGAUGAUUCUGUGUUGCUGGCUAUCGUCAUAAAUAUGUUGCACGGGUAACCCCUUUUGCAUCCAGAUGGUUACAAGAGUCUUUGAGGAUUCUCAAAAUACCAUCAGAACAGCAGGAUCUUCGUCACAGCCCGUGAUUUUCCUGCUAUGACAAGUCAAAACGCCUGCGGUGAAAAAGGUCUGUUACGCAGGUUUACAGAGAGACACGGGAACUGACUCAUCAUCAAUUAUAUAACUUUUACCAGUGCUUUUUUCUGCUAUGAGGACUCAAAACAUGUGAUGUUAAGAAAAGUCUGUCAGCACAUGGACUUUGGUGUCAUCACGUCAUCCCCAGUUUAGCUCCACAAAACUUCAACCUGAGCAGAUACCUAAUCAGCCACAAUAAGUGAGAAAACCUGUGUGAGUGUGCAGGGCCUUGAAUGUAAAGUAGUUAUUCACAUUUCAGACAUAUAUGAUAGCCUUUAAAAGGAACAGGUCAGAUUUACAGACAGGUAGAAAUGUCAUGAAUAGCUUUAAUAUGUUUGUAAGUGCAGUGUGACAGUACAUCAUUGAGGCCCAAACGAUACUGCAUAUACAGGUGUGGCUUACUGUAUUUUGACUAAUAAGACCUCCUCACAGGACCAUGUGGGCAGGUACAAAAUGUGCUUGAUUGACAUCUCACUGACUGUCUCAUUAGUAUUGUUGCACCUGAUUAGGUGGGACAAAUUCAUGUAAUUUAACAUUUGUUUCAAUCGUAAUUACGAGAAAGUGGAAAAGGAGGAGGAGGAAUUGGAAAAACUGUUCACGUCAGCCUCCAACUUGUAAUUCAGAGUUGGGCAUAUGGGGAAUUUCUGACACCGACAGUAUCUCCCAUGUGAUGAAAAGAAAACCGCACCACUGCUGGUAGUUGCACAAAAAUAAAAUCGAAUAUGAACUCUAAUACAAUCCAUAGUGCGUAUUUAAGCUAUACACUGUUUUUGUAUCUCCUUUCGCCUUGGUAAUGAACUGCCAGAAGUUAAUUUACACUGUUUAUCUGGUGCGUCUACAAGGUUAGCACUUGGGCUAACCACCUUUGCAUAAUGAGAGAGUUUUUCCCAUUCUUCCCAUUCUGGUGACAUUGUGUGAAUGCAUCAUUAUCCCCUAUAUUAAGAUACAUUACAUUUCUUACCAACGAAUAUUCACCCCAUUUGCAUAUCCAUACGCAUAUG